CUAAAUACUACCCAGUGACCGAUAGCGUAUAGUACUGUGAAGGAAAGGUGAAAAGAACCCCGGGAGGGGAGUGAAAAGAACCUGAAACCUUGUGCUUACAAGCACACAAAGCACGUCAACGUGUGAUGUGGUACCUUUUGUAGAAUGGUCCGGCGAGUGAAUGUAACUGGCGAGGUUAAGUUCUUAAGGAACGGAGCCGAAGCGAAAGCAAGUCUGAAUAGGGCGUCUUAGUCAGUUGUAUUCGACCCGAAACCGGGUGACCUAUCCAUGUCCAGGAUGAAGUUAAGGUAAAACUUGAUGGAGGUCCGAACCCACGGUCGUUGAAAUGCCCGGGGAUGAGAUGUGGAUAGCGGAGAAAUUCCAAUCGAACCCGGAUAUAGCUGGUUCUCUCCGAAAUAGCUUUAGGGCUAGCCUCGACUGAACAUUACCGGAGGUAGAGCACUGAAUGGGCUAGGGGCCGAGAGGUUACUGAACCCUAUCAAACUUCAAAUGCCGGAAAAUGAUAGUCGGGAGUCAGACUGCGUGAGAUAAGUUUCGUAGUCGAAAGGGAAACAGCCCAGACCCACAGCUAAGGUCCCAAAGUACGGUUAAGUGGAAAAGGAUGUGGAGUUGCACAGACAACCAGGAUGUUGGCUUAGAAGCAGCCACUCAUUAAAAGAGUGCGUAAUAGCUCACUGGUCGAGUGACUCUGCGCCGAAAAUUUAACGGGGCUAAAUCGUACACCGAAGCUUGGGAUGCAUCUAUGAUGCAUGGUAGGAGAGCGUUGAAUGCGGGGUGAAGUCAGAGCGAAAGCGCUGGUGGACUGCAUUGAAGUGAGAAUGCCGGAAUGAGUAGCGAGAUUUAUGUGAGAAUCAUAAAGGCCGAAAGACUAAGGUUUCAGAAGGAAGGUUCGUCCGCUUCUGGUUAGCCGGGAGCUAAGGUGAGGCCGAAAGGCGUAGCCGAUGCACAUACGGUGGAGAUUCCGUAGCCGUCGAAAUAUUUAAGCAAAGGGACACUUAUGAAGGACAUGACCCGGGCGAUGGUAGCCCCGGGCGUAAGGGACUGAAAACAAGUAAGGAAGCAUGUUUGGAUUAAGGCGAGAAAAGCUUUGUGUAUAUAUGAGACGUCCGUACCGCAAACCGACACAGGUAGUCAGGAAGAGGAUUCUAAGGCCAACGGGAGAAGGGUAGUUAAGGAACUCGGCAAAUUGACCCCGUAACUUCGGGAUAAGGGGCGGUGCGUAAGCACCCGCAGUGAAUAGGUCCAGGCGACUGUUUAUCAAAAACACAGCUCUCUGCUAAAUCGAAAGAUGACGUAUAGGGGGUGACACCUGCCCGGUGCUGGAAGGUUAAGAGGAGGAGUGCAAGCUCCGAAUUGAAGCCCCAGUAAACGGCGGCCGUAACUAUAACGGUCCUAAGGUAGCGAAAUUCCUUGUCGGGUAAGUUCCGACCCGCACGAAUGGUGUAACGAUCUGGACGCUGUCUCAACUGCCCACCCGGCGAAAUUGUAGUACCGGUGAAGAUGCCGGUUACCCGCGGCAAGACGGAAAGACCCCAUGGAGCUUUACUGUAACUUGAUAUUGGGUCUUGGUAUUCUAUGUACAGGAUAGGCGGGAGACUAUGAAACAUACACGCCAGUGUAUGCGGAGUCACCCUUGGGAUACCGCUCUUAGAGUACUGAGAUUCUAACCUGCGGCCGUGAAUCCGGUCGGGGGACAUUGUCAGGUGGGCAGUUUGACUGGGGCGGUCGCCUCCUAAAAGGUAACGGAGGCGCUCAAAGGUUAGCUCAGCACGGUCGGAAACCGUGCCUCUGAGUGCAAACGCAAAAGCUAGCCUAACUGCGAGGCUGACGGGCCGAGCAGUAACGAAAGUUGGAGUUAGUGAUCCGGCGGUAUGUGAAUGGAAAUGCCGUCGCUCAACGGAUAAAAGCUACCCUGGGGAUAACAGGCUGAUCU
rnacentral:rRNA from 1 species